rnacentral:rRNA from 1 species
UACGGAAGGUCCGAGCGUUAUCCGGAUUUAUUGGGUUUAAAGGGAGCGUAGGCGGGAUGCCAAGUCAGUUGUGAAAGUUCUCGGCUCAACCGUGGAAUUGCAGUUGAAACUGGUGUUCUUGAGUGCACAUAACGAAGGUGGAAUUUGUGGUGUAGCGGUGAAAUGCUUAGAUAUCACGAAGAACUCCGAUUGCGAAGGCAGCCUUCGGGGGUGCUACUGACGCUGAGGCUCGAAAGUGCGGGAAU